CAGCUUGUCGCGAUUGUCAUCAUGUCUGAGGGGUUUUCAUCGGUAUGAACUUUCACUACAACAAAAAGGGUUAUUUUCGACGGAAUAUUCCGUCGGUAAUAAGCAUAUUCCGUCGAUGUUAACCUUAUUUUCGAUGGACUAUUCAGUCGAAAAUUCGGUCGUAUAUAACCAGGUCGAAAUUAAGUCCGUCGAUCUUUUAUUCAGGGAUACUUAACAUCGACGGACUUAUCCUCGAC
rnacentral:lncRNA from 1 species